AGUGAACGCUGGCGGUAGGCCUAACACAUGCAAGUCGAACGGCAGCACAGUAAGAGCUUGCUCUUACGGGUGGCGAGUGGCGGACGGGUGAGGAAUACAUCGGAAUCUACUUUUUCGUGGGGGAUAACGUAGGGAAACUUACGCUAAUACCGCAUACGACCUACGGGUGAAAGCAGGGGAUCUUCGGACCUUGCGCGAUUGAAUGAGCCGAUGUCGGAUUAGCUAGUUGGCGGGGUAAAGGCCCACCAAGGCGACGAUCCGUAGCUGGUCUGAGAGGAUGAACAGCCACAAUGGAACCGAGACACGGUCCAGACUCCUACGGGAGGCAGCAGUGGGGAAUAUUGGACAAUGGGCGCAAGCCUGAUCCAGCCAUACCGCGUGGGUGAAGAAGGCCUUCGGGUUGUAAAGCCCUUUUGUUGGGAAAGAAAAGCAGCAGGUUAAUACCCCGCUGUUCUGACGGUACCCAAAGAAUAAGCACCGGCUAACUUCGUG
rnacentral:rRNA from 1 species